CAUAAUUUUAUACUUAAUAUAUUGAUAUGAUCAAUAAAAGGAUAAUUUCUUUUUCAUUCAAGUGUGAUGUGUCCUUAAAUCAUCCAUGGAAUUAGUUUCGAUACAUAUUCUUAAAGUGUUAAGAAUUAGAGACAUGUAUUUAAUUUCUAAAUGCUCUCGGUCAUAGGAUCAUUACGAGGAUGGUGAUAGAUCUGGAUAGACUGGCAUAC
rnacentral:lncRNA from 1 species